GAUGCAAUUACUGCCUUCCAAGGAUCAAAAAUCUGAGAUCAGCUGUUUCCUCCUCAUCCAGUUUGAAGAAACAUUUUGAGAGGGCACACCCUGAGAAGCUGAGAGCAAUUGAAGAAGCAAUAAAGGCAAGGAGACGUGGCCUUCCUGAACCAAUGCAUGACACCCCUCCUCCCAAAAUGCUGAAGCAGCAGCAGACAACCCUUGAGAGGUGGGGAUCUGGCAGGGAUCUGCUUCUUCUGGCAGCCUGCAUACACCCUCGCUUCAAACUAGAUCGGCUGGAAUCGUGUCAGGCCACCACCCAUACCAACAAAUACACAAUGGAAGCCUUGUUGAAAGCUGAAAUAAAGAUGGGUGUACUUAAUGAGAAC